CUCUCUACUUGCAGAGCCCUACGCUGAGGCAGGACCAGCUUCAGAAGAGGUGGAUCUCCUGAAGUUGUGGUGGGCACCGGUGGUUUCACAGUAGGUACUGUCAUCCCCCAUUGGCUUGAUUGACUGCUCUCUGGGUUCAACCUGCCUGUCCCUCAUGGUGGUACCUCAACAUGCUCCAUCACAGCUUGAUACUUCCAGACAGAAGACUUGAGUUUAAUCCUACGGUGAAGUGAAUCUCUGGUGACUUCUGUUGAGUUGAUCCUGCCUACAUC
rnacentral:lncRNA from 1 species